rnacentral:tRNA from 1 species
GCGGGAGUAACUCAGUUGGUAGAGUGCCUGCCUUCCAAGCAGAAUGUCGCGGGUUCGAGUCCCGUCUCCCGCU